GAGGUUAUAGCUCAGUGGUAGAGUGCAUGCUUAGCAUGCACAAGAUCCUGGGUUCAAUCCCCAGGGCCUCC
rnacentral:tRNA from 1 species